rnacentral:rRNA from 1 species
CAGCCGCCGCGGUAAUACGAAGGGGGCUAGCGUUGUUCGGAAUUACUGGGCGUAAAGGGCGCGUAGGCGGCCAUUCAAGUUAGAUGUGAAAGCCCUGGGCUCAACCUAGGAAUUGCAUUUGAUACUGUUUGGCUUGAGUUCGGGAGAGGUGAGUGGAAUUCCCAGUGUAGAGGUGAAAUUCGUAGAUAUUGGGAAGAACACCAGUGGCGAAGGCGGCCAUCUGGGACAACACUGACGCUGAGGCACGAAAGCGUGGGGAGCAAACAGGAUUAGAUACCCCCGUAGUCCCUGUCUCUUAUAC